rnacentral:rRNA from 1 species
CAGGCUGAUACCGCCCAAGAGUUCAUAUCGACGGCGGUGUUUGGCACCUCGAUGUCGGCUCAUCACAUCCUGGGGCUGAAGUAGGUCCCAAGGGUAUGGCUGUUCGCCAUUUAAAGUGGUACGCGAGCUGGGUUUAGAACGUCGUGAGACAGUUCGGUCCCUAUCUGCCGUGGGCGCUGGAGAACUGAGGGGGGCUGCUCCUAGUACGAGAGGACCGGAGUGGACGCAUCACUGGUGUUCGGGUUGUCAUGCCAAUGGCACUGCCCGGUAGCUAAAUGCGGAAGAGAUAAGUGCUGAAAGCAUCUAAGCACGAAACUUGCCCCGAGAUGAGUUCUCCCUGACUCCUUGAGAGUCCUGAAGGAACGUUGAAGACGACGACGUUGAUAGGCCGGGUGUGUAAGCGCAGCGAUGCGUUGAGCUAACCGGUACUAAUGAACCGUGAGGCUUAACCUUACAACGCCGAAGGUGUUU